rnacentral:rRNA from 1 species
UACGUAGGGUGCAAGCGUUGUCCGGAAUUAUUGGGCGUAAAGGGCUCGUAGGCGGUUUGUCGCGUCGGGAGUGAAAUCAUCUGGCUUAACUGGGUGCUUGCUUUCGAUACGGGCAGACUAGAGGUAUGCAGGGGAGAACGGAAUUCCUGGUGUAGCGGUGAAAUGCGCAGAUAUCAGGAGGAACACCGGUGGCGAAGGCGGUUCUCUGGGCAUGAUCUGACGCUGAGGAGCGAAAGUGUGGGGAGCGAACAGG